GAAGGUACAAAUGUCAGCCCUCCUGUUCUCCGACCCCUCUGUUUGCAAGUCUCAGUCAUUGUACAUACACACAAACAUGUGUGCGCGCGCGCGCGAGCGUGUGUGCCACCUCACUAUAUAUGAUGUGAUGUAUGCCAUGCCAUGCGGCCUUUAGAACUUGAAACCAAGUAUGUGCGGCGCGCCGGUGUACUUGAGCCACAUGGCGCCGUCGAUGAACGGCCCGGCGGUGAACGGCUCGGCCUCCUUCCGUCCGAUGACGUGGAAGCCGGGCCAGUUGACCCUCUUGCUGGUGCCGGCGCCGGGCCCGCGGUUGUUGUACUCGGCGUAGUAGAGCGUCUUGAGGGCGAAGUCGCCGUUCCAGGGCAUGUACCCCUCUGGCUUGACGAAGUCGGCGAUGGUGCUCUCCAUGAUGACGAGGCGCGAGAACUCCUUCCAGGGGCGGCCCAGGUACGAGGGGAUCUUGAAGCGGUCCGGGAACAGCUUCUGGUCGGGCACCAGGCGGCAGUUCUGGAUGACGAGCCCGGACUUCAUGUUGGGGUCGGUGCGGCCGUGCGCCGUCACCGAGUUCUGCUGGUUGUCCAUGGGCCGCCGCGUGAUGAUGAGGCAGUUCUGGAACACCGCCGCCGAGUUGCCGAAGAUGAAGUCGAUGGUGCCGGAGACCACGCAGUUGCGGAAGAACUGCCGCCGCGCGUGCACGUACAGCGUGUCCUGGAACGCGUCGAACCGGCAGUUGUAGAACGCCGCGAGGUCCCCCUGCACCCGGAGCGCCACCGCCUGGUGCCGCUCCGCGCCGGCCGUGUUGUGGAACCCCAUGUUCUUGCAGAUGAACCCGGACGCCUCGACGGCUGCAUUGCAUUUGCAUGUGACCAACCCCAUGCAUCCGUCAAGUUCUUGCAUGAGACAUGUGGCUAAUUAAUUAAAUGGUGGUAAUUGGUAAAGAACAUCUGCUCACAGAAGGUGGCGGUCUUCAUGGUGGUGAUGCCGUCGGCGAAGCUCUUGCGGCCGGUCACGCGGCUUUGCUUAGGCCCGUCGCCGUACAUGAAGAUGUUGACCUUGUCCUUGGGGACCAUGACGAUCUCGUCGUAGAGGCCGGCCUUCACGUAGAUGACGUACCUCCCCUGAUGGCCCUUGGGCACGGCGUCCACGGCCUGCUGGAUGCUCUUGAACUGCCCGCUGCCGUCCUUGGCCACGAUCGCGUUCGGCUUGGGCUGGUUGCCCGACGCCAGCAGCUUCCUCUCCGGCGACCGCAUCCACACGGGCCAGCCCUUCUCAUCCUGCUCCGACGACAGCAGUCGGCGGCGCGAGUCCUUGCUGAACAUGCCGAGGUCCAUCUUCUUCAGGAUCCCGCCGAGGCUGUUGGUGAUGGCCAGCGCGUUGCUGCUGAGCUCGGUGGCGUUGCGCAGCACGGAGUGCAUGUCGGCCUUGAGCUUCUCGUCGACGAAGCCGUCGACGCAGGUGUCCAUGAACGUCAUGACGCCCGUGAGCCAGGUCUCGAGGUCGUCGGACCGGCUGAACAGCACCUUGAUGUCGCCGCCGGCCAUCUCGAGCAUGCCCCUCAGGUCGUCGGCGGCGUCCUCCAGGAGCUUCUUGCAGUCCUCGCGCGCGCUCUCGGUCAUGGAGUCGCUGGCCUUGGCCUC
rnacentral:lncRNA from 1 species